AGUGAACGCUGGCGGCGUGCCUAAUACAUGCAAGUCGAACGAAGUGGCGAACGGGUGAGUAACGCGUGAUCAACCUGCCCUUCAGAGGGGGACAACAGGUGGAAACGACUGCUAAUACCGCAUACUGAAGGUGGGGAUUGAGUCGGAUUAGCUAGUUGGAGAGGUAACGGCCCACCAAGGCGAUGAUCAGUAGCCGGUCUGAGAGGAUGAUCAGUCACACUGGAACUGAGACACGGUCCAGACUCCUACGGGAGGCAGCAGUAGGGAAUAGUGCUCAAUGGGGGAAACCCUGAAGCAGCAACGCCGCGUGGAGGAUGACACUUUUCGGAGCGUAAACUCCUUUUGUUAGGGAAGCGGUACCUAACGAAUAAGCACCGGCUAACUCCGUGCCAGCAGCCGCGGUAAUAC
rnacentral:rRNA from 1 species